GUGGGGAAUUUUGGACAAUGGGCGCAAGCCUGAUCCAGCAAUGCCGCGUGUGUGAAGAAGGCCUUCGGGUUGUAAAGCACUUUUGGCAGGAAAGAAAUAGCGCGUGCUAAUACCAUGCGCGAAUGACGGUACCUGCAGAAUAAGCACCGGCUAACUACGUGCCAGCAGCCGCGGUAAGACGUAGGGUGCAAGCGUUAAUCGGAAUUACUGGGCGUAAAGCGUGCGCAGGCGGUUUUGUAAGACAGGUGUGAAAUCCCCGGGCUCAACAUGGGAACUUCACUUGUGACUGCCAGGCUAGAGUGUGUCAGAGGGAGGUGGAAUUCCGCGUGUAGCAGUGACAUGCGUAGAGAUGCGAAGGAACACCGAUGACGAAGGCAGCCUCCUGGGAUAACACUGACACUCAGGCACGAAAGCGUGGGGAACAAACAGGAUUAGAAACCCCUGUAGUCC
rnacentral:rRNA from 1 species